AGCGUUGUAGCUCUAUGGAAGAGCAGUUGCAGUGAAUAAUAUUACUGUAAAAGGAAAUGAGUUCAAUUCUCAUCAGCGGUA
rnacentral:tRNA from 1 species